rnacentral:rRNA from 1 species
CAGCCGCCGCGGUAAUACGAAGGGGGCUAGCGUUGUUCGGAAUUACUGGGCGUAAAGCGCGUGUAGGCGGGCUUUUAAGUCAGGGGUGAAAUGCCAAGGCUCAACCUUGGAACUGCCUUUGAUACUGGAAGUCUUGAGUCCGGGAGAGGUGAGUGGAACUGCGAGUGUAGAGGUGAAAUUCGUAGAUAUUCGCAAGAACACCAGUGGCGAAGGCGGCUCACUGGCCCGGAACUGACGCUGAGACGCGAAAGCGUGGGGAGCAAACAGGAUUAGAUACCCCCGUAGUCCCUGUCUCUUAUAA